rnacentral:rRNA from 1 species
AUUGAACGCUGGCGGCAUGCUUUACACAUGCAAGUCGAACGGCAGCACGGGUGCUUGCACCUGGUGGCGAGUGGCGGACGGGUGAGUAAUGCAUCGGAACGUGUCCUGAAGUGGGGGAUAACGCAUCGAAAGAUGUGCUAAUACCGCAUAUUCUCUGAGGAGGAAAGUAGGGGAUCGAAAGACCUUAUGCUUUUGGAGCGGCCGAUGUCUGAUUAGCUAGUUGGUAGGGUAAUGGCUUACCAAGGCGACGAUCAGUAGUUGGUCUGAGAGGACGACCAGCCACACUGGGACUGAGACACGGCCCAGACUCCUACGGGAGGCAGCAGUGGGGAAUUUUGGACAAUGGGCGCAAGCCUGAUCCAGCAAUGCCGCGUGAGUGAAGAAGGCCUCGGUUGUUAAAGGACUACUUUCUAGUUGUAGAAGAAAAAGUAACGUA